AGUGAACGCUGGCGGUAGGCCUAACACAUGCAAGUCGAACGGCAGCACAGUAAGAGCUUGCUCUUACGGGUGGCGAGUGGCGGACGGGUGAGGAAUACAUCGGAAUCUACUUUUUCGUGGGGGAUAACGUAGGGAAACUUACGCUAAUACCGCAUACGACCUACGGGUGAAAGCAGGGGAUCUUCGGACCUUGCGCGAUUGAAUGAGCCGAUGUCGGAUUAGCUAGUUGGCGGGGUAAAGGCCCACCAAGGCGACGAUCCGUAGCUGGUCUGAGAGGAUGAUCAGCGACACUGGAACUGAGACACGGUCCAGACUCCUACGGGAGGCAGCAGUGGGGAAUAUUGGACAAUGGGCGCAAGCCUGAUCCAGCCAGACCGCGUGGGUGAAGAAGGCCUUCGGGUUGUAAAGCCCUUUUGUUGGGAAAGAAAAGCAGCAGGUUAAUACCCCGCUGUUCUGACGGUACCCAAAGAAUAAGCACCGGCUAACUUCGUG
rnacentral:rRNA from 1 species